GAUGAACGCUGGCGGCGUGCUUAACACAUGCAAGUCGAACGGAAAGGCCAGUGCUUGCACUGGUACUCGAGUGGCGAACGGGUGAGUAACACGUGGGUGAUCUGCCCUGUACUUCGGGAUAAGCUUGGGAAACUGGGUCUAAUACCGGAUAGGACAACUUUUUGGAUAUUGUUGUGGAAAGCUUUUGCGGUAUGGGAUGAGCUCGCGGCCUAUCAGCUUGUUGGUGGGGUAAUGGCCUACCAAGGCGUCGACGGGUAGCCGGCCUGAGAGGGUGUACGGCCACAUUGGGACUGAGAUACGGCCCAGACUCCUACGGGAGGCAGCAGUGGGGAAUAUUGCACAAUGGGCGCAAGCCUGAUGCAGCGACGCCGCGUGGGGGAUGAAGGCCUUCGGGUUGUAAACUCCUUUCGCUAGGGACGAAGCGUAAGUGACGGUACCUGGAGAAGAAGCACCGGCUAACUACGUG
rnacentral:rRNA from 1 species